UACGUAGGUGGCAAGCGUUGUCCGGAAUUAUUGGGCGUAAAGCGCGCGCAGGCGGUCCUUUAAGUCUGAUGUGAAAGCCCACGGCUCAACCGUGGAGGGUCAUUGGAAACUGGGGGACUUGAGUGCAGGAGAGGAACGCGGAAUUCCAGGUGUAGCGGUGAAAUGCGUAGAUAUCUGGAGGAACACCGGUGGCGAAGGCGGCGUUCUGGACUGUUACUGACACUGAGGAACGAAAGCCAGGGGAGCAAACGGG
rnacentral:rRNA from 1 species